rnacentral:rRNA from 1 species
CAGCCGCGGUAACCGUAGGAGGCGAGCGUUAUCCGGAUUUAUUGGGCGUAAAGCGCAUGCAGGUGGCUAGGUAAGUCGGGUGUGAAAGCCCCGGACUUAAUCCGGGGAGGUCAUUCGAUACUGCUUGGCUUGAGAGCGGGAGAGGGAAGUGGAAUUCUCGGUGUAGUGGUGAUAUGCGUAGAUAUCGAGAGGAACACCAGUGGCGAAGGCGGCUUCCUGGCCCGUAUCUGACACUAAGAUGCGAAAGCGUGGGUAGCAAACGGACUUAGAUACUCCGGUAGUCCACGCUGUAAACGAUGGGUACUAGGUGUAGGGGGUGUAAAACUCUCUGUGCCAUAGUUAACGCACUAAGUACCCCGCCUGGGGACUACGGUCGCAAGGCUAAAACUCAAAGGAAUUGACGGGGGCCCGCACAAGCAGCGGAGCGUGUGGUUCAAUUCGAAGAUACACGAAGAACCUUACCUGGGCUUGACAUGUUGGUAGUAGUGAAGCGAAAGCGGAACGAUCCUUCGGGAAGCCAUCACAGGUGCUGCAUGGCUGUCGUCAGCUCGUGCCGUGAGGUGUUGGGUUAAGUCCUGUAACGAGCGCAACCCUCGCUGCCAGUUACAAGUGUCUGGCGGGACUGCCGGUGACAAACCGGAGGAAGGUGGGGAUGACGUCAAGUCAGCAUGGCCUUUAUGUCCAGGGCUACACACACGCUACAAUGGCCGGUACAAUAGGUUGCCAAGUCGUGAGGCGGAGCUAAUCCUCAAAACCGGUCUCAGUUCGAAUUGCAGGCUGCAACCCGCCUGCAUGAAGUUGGAGUUGCUAGUAAACGCGCGUCAGCAAUAGUGCGUUGAAUACGUUCCCGGGCCUUGCACACACCGC